AAUAACUGUAGUUUUAUACUAUUCACGUUCAACAUUUGACCGUUCGUCUUAUAUGAAAUUUUUUUCUGAUUAGUAUUUUUAUUGCUAUUAGAUAAUAAAACAUGAAUAGUACUUUAUGUGUGACUAAAUAUUUUCAAUUUUUUCACAAUUUUUUUAAAUAAGACGGACGGUCAAACGUUGGGCACGGAUAUCCACGGCUGCACUUAUU
rnacentral:pre_miRNA from 1 species